UACGGAGGGUGCAAGCGUUAUCUGGAUUCACUGGGUUUAAAGGGUGCGUAGGUGGGUUGAUAAGUCAGUGGUGAAAUCCCCGAGCUUAACUUGGGAACUGCCAUUGAUACUAUUGAUCUUGAAUACCGUGGAGGUCAGCGGAAUAUGUCAUGUAGCGGUGAAAUGCUUAGAUAUGACAUAGAACACCAAUUGCGAAGGCAGCUGGCUACGCGAAUAUUGACACUGAUGCACGAAAGCGGGGGGAUCGAACAGG
rnacentral:rRNA from 1 species